AAGACCUUGCACUUUUGGAGCGGCCGAUGUCUGAUUAGCUAGUUGGUGGGGUAAUGGCCUACCAAAGCUUCGAUCAGUAGCUGGUCUGAGAGGACGGCCAGCCACACUGGGACUGAGACACGGCCCAGACUCCUACGGGAGGCAGCAGUGGGGAAUUUUGGACAAUGGGCGCAAGCCUGAUCCAGCCAUGCCGCGUGAGUGAAGAAGGCCUUCGGGUUGUAAAGCUCUUUCAGCCGGGAAGAAAAGGUUGCGACUAAUAAUCGCAAUCCAUGACGGUACCGAAAGAAGAAGCACCGGCUAACUACGUGCCAGCAGCCGCGGUAAUACGUAGGGUGCGAGCGUUAAUCGGAAUUACUGGGCGUAAAGCGUGCGCAGGUGGUUUUGUAAGUCAGAUGUGAAAGCCCCGGGCUCAACCUGGGAACU
rnacentral:rRNA from 1 species